rnacentral:rRNA from 1 species
AGAGUUUGAUCCUGGCUCAGGAUGAACGCUGGCGGCGUGCUUAACACAUGCAAGUCGAACGAAGCACUUUAUCACGAUUUCUUCGGAGUGACGAUUUGGUGACUGAGUGGCGGACGGGUGAGUAACGCGUGGGUAACCUGCCUUAUACAGGGGGAUAACAGUUGGAAACGGCUGCUAAUACCGCAUAAGCGCACAGGGUCGCAUGACCUGGUGUGAAAAACUCCGGUGGUAUGAGAUGGACCCGCGUUGGAUUAGCUGGUUGGUGAGGUAACGGCCCACCAAGGCGACGAUCCAUAGCCGACCUGAGAGGGUGACCGGCCACAUUGGGACUGAGACACGGCCCAAACUCCUACGGGAGGCAGCAGUGGGGAAUAUUGCACAAUGGGCGAAAGCCUGAUGCAGCGACGCCGCGUGAGCGAAGAAGUAUUUCGGUAUGUAAAGCUCUAUCAGCAGGGAAGAUAAUGACGGUACCUGACUAAGAAGCACCGGCUAAAUACGUGCCAGCAGCCGCGGUAAUACGUAUGGUGCAAGCGUUAUCCGGAUUUACUGGGUGUAAAGGGAGCGCAGGCGGUACGGCAAGCCUGAUGUGAAAGCCCGGGGCUCAACCCCGGUACUGCAUUGGAAACUGUCGAACUAGAGUGUCGGAGGGGUAAGUGGAAUUCCUAGUGUAGCGGUGAAAUGCGUAGAUAUUAGGAGGAACACCAGUGGCGAAGGCGGCUUACUGGACGAUAACUGACGCUGAGGCUCGAAAGCGUGGGGAGCAAACAGGAUUAGAUACCCUGGUAGUCCACGCCGUAAACGAUGAAUAUUAUGGUGUCGGGGAGCAAAGCUCUUCGGUGCCGUCGCAAACGCAGUAAGUAUUCCA